CGGUGUUCAACUGGCGUGUCCGCGGGACGUCCUGCCGGUGGGCUUAGCCCGCAAGGGCGGCCCAACUUUAAAUCCCAUCGCGGUGCUCUUCACUGAGUGUCGAGGUGGGCCGGCACGUUUACUUUGAACAAAUUAGAGUGCUUAAAGCAGGCUAAAACUUCGCCUGAAUACUGUGUGCAUGGAAUAAUGGAAUAGGACCUCGGUUCUAUUUUGUUGGUUUUCGGAACCCCGAGGUAAUGAUUAAUAGGAACGGAUGGGGGCAUUCGUAUUGCGACGUUAGAGGUGAAAUUCUUGGAUCGUCGCAAGACGGACAGAAGCGAAAGCAUUUGCCAAAAACGCUUUCAUUGAUCAAGAACGAAAGUUAGAGGUUCGAAGGCGAUCAGAUACCGCCCUAGUUCUAACCAUAAACGAUGCCAGCUAGCGAUCCGUCGACGUUCCUCCGAUGACUCGACGGGCAGCUUCCGGGAAACCAAAGCUUUUGGGUUCCGGGGGAAGUAUGGUUGCAAAGCUGAAACUUAAAGGAAUUGACGGAAGGGCACCACCAGGAGUGGAGCCUGCGGCUUAAUUUGACUCAACACGGGAAACCUCACCAGGCCCGGACACCGGAAGGAUUGACAGAUUGAGAGCUCUUUCUUGAUUCGGUGGGUGGUGGUGCAUGGCCGUUCUUAGUUGGUGGAGCGAUUUGUCUGGUUAAUUCCGAUAACGAACGAGACUCUAGCCUGCUAACUAGGCGUAUUUUCGACAUCUCAAAGGUCCGUCGUCCCGGCCCUCGGGUCGUGGGCGUGCGCGAUUUUUACUGUCGGCGUACUAUCAAUUCUUCUUAGAGGGACAGGUGGCUUCUAGCCGCACGAGAUUGAGCAAUAACAGGUCUGUGAUG
rnacentral:rRNA from 1 species